CGUGCACCAGUGGGGUCCCUCGGCCUGGCCUGCAGGAUCCGGCCGAAACUGUCUCUCCAACAUCCCCCAAGGGGUCCUGGGUUGUGAGAGGGUGCAGGCCAGGCCGAGGGAUCCCACCGGUGCACA
rnacentral:pre_miRNA from 1 species